rnacentral:rRNA from 1 species
AUGAACUUAGCUUGCUAAGUUUGAUGGCGACCGGCGCACGGGUGAGUAACACGUAUCCCACCUUCCGUUUACUCAGGGAUAGCCUUUCGAAAGAAAGAUUAAUACCUGAUAGUAUGGUGAGAUUGCAUGAUAACACCAUUAAAGAUUUAUUGGUAAACGAUGGGGAUGCGUUCCAUUAGGUAGUAGGCGGGGUAACGGCCCACCUAGCCUGCGAUGGAUAGGGGUUCUGAGAGGAAGGUCCCCCACAUUGGAACUGAGACACGGUCCAAACUCCUACGGGAGGCAGCAGUGAGGAAUAUUGGUCAAUGGGCGAGAGCCUGAACCAGCCAAGUAGCGUGAAGGAUGAAGGUCCUACGGAUUGUAAACUUCUUUUAUACGGGAAUAAAGUUUCCUACGUGUAGGAUUUUGUAUGUACCGUAUGAAUAAGCAUCGGCUAACUCCGUGCCAGCAGCCGCGGUAAUACGGAGGAUGCGAGCGUUAUCCGGAUUUAUUGGGUUUAAAGGGAGCGCAGACGGGAGAUUAAGUCAGUUGUGAAAGUUUGCGGCUCAACCGUAAAAUUGCAGUUGAUACUGGUUUCCUUGAGUGCAGUUGAGGCAGGCGGAAUUCGUGGUGUAGCGGUGAAAUGCUUAGAUAUCACGAAGAACUCCGAUUG